CACGUAGGGCGCAAGCGUUGUCCGGAAUUAUUGGGCGUAAAGAGCUCGUAGGCGGUCUGUUGCGUCCGCUGUGAAAACUCGGGGCUUAACCCCGAGCCUGCAGUGGAUACGGGCAGACUAGAGGUAGGUAGGGGAGAAUGGAAUUCCCGGUGUAGCGGUGAAAUGCGCAGAUAUCGGGAGGAAAACCGGUGGCGAAGGCGGUUCUCUGGGCCUAACCUGACGCUGAGGAGCGAAAGCGUGGGGAGCGAACAGG
rnacentral:rRNA from 1 species